rnacentral:rRNA from 1 species
GACAGAGGUCCCAAGCGUUAGGCGGAAUCACUGGGCUUAAAGCGUGUGUAGGCGGACUUCUAAGUACCUUGUGAAAUCCCACGGCUCAACCGUGGAACUGCUUGGUAUACUGGUUGUCUUGGGCCAUCUAGGGGCUAGCGGAACAAACGGUGGAGCGGUGAAAUGCGUAGAUAUCGUUUGGAACGCCAAAGGUGAAAACAGGUUGCUGGGAAUGUGCCGACGCUGAGACACGAAAGCCAGGGGAGCAAACGGG